rnacentral:pre_miRNA from 1 species
AGUGGGAUAGCUGGGUCAAAAUGUGGUUCCAUUCCAACUUUUCCAAGAAAUCUCCAUACUGCUUUCCAUAUUGGCUGCAGCAUUUUGCAGUCCCAUCAGCAAU